rnacentral:rRNA from 1 species
UACGUAGGUGGCAAGCGUUGUCCGGAUUUACUGGGCGUAAAGAGCGCGCAGGCGGUCGUUCAAGUCGAGUGUGAAAGCCCCCCGGCUCAACUGGGGAGGGUCACUCGAUACUGAUCGACUCGAAGGCAGAAGAGGGAGGCGGAAUUCCCGGUGUAGUGGUGAAAUGCGUAGAUAUCGGGAGGAACACCAGUGGCGAAGGCGGCUUUCUGGUCUGCUCUUGACGCUGAGGCGCGAAAGCUAGGGUAGCAAACGGG